CCUUAGAGUAGAGGAAGUUUGUGGGUUUUGUGUUCAAGGCUCAUUUUCUUGAGUCUUUGAACACCUAAUAAUCUUACAUU